GUUUGUGGAAACACCACGUAAAUUUAUUACUGCAUACAAUUUGCUUGCGGUUUACGACUUUGCAGUAAUAAAUUUACGUGGUGUUUCCACAAACAAAAACAA